CACUACAGAAAAUAUUUCCCCCCAAAAUAUUACACUUAAUGAAAAUAUUUUCCCCCAAAUCCCAAUACAAGGCAAAAAAAUCAUCGCCCAAAUACUAGUGAAAAAACUUUUCCCAAUUAUUUUCUCUCCUCUGUCGCUUCACCCUAGCUUCAUCGUCUCCAGUUACCUAAUGCUUGUCAUUCAUUGCUCCAUGUAUCUUCCAGAUUACUGUCAAUCAUAACAAAUCUCCAUCCCUUUCUCUAUUGUGUUCGAUCUAUCUUGACAAGUAUUGCACGAGGUAUGAGAGGCCAAAAUCUACCAGAAGAAAAUCUACCACAUUCUUCUGGCUCAACUCAUGCUCCGAGUCUUGAAAAGGUAUUUAUAUUUCACACUCGAAAAAUUCCUCAACUUCACUGUCCAGUGGAGCUCACCUUGAUUUGCUAAAACCAUCAGUGUGGUGUUCCAUGGAUUCUAUAAACUAUGCAACCAGCGGUUCUUCAGACAAGAAUGUGCCAGAAGCCACUGCAAGUGUUAUCUCUGGAAAAGCUGAUAUAUGGCUUCUGUUUGUAAGAUUGAUGAGUUUUUUUCUCGUGCACACUUGAGAUAUACCCAUUCAAGAAUGUACCCAUUCAAGGCAUUCAACCAGACAAUUGAGAUAUAGUCUAUGGUUUCGCUUAAUAUACAGUCUAUGGUUUCACUUAAUCCUUUCCCUCUUUGUUUCUUUAGUUCUUUGUGGAGGAAGUUGACUAGUUCUGCUUGAUUCACUAGCCUGCUUGUUUAACUUGCUCAAAAUUAUGGCUGUUUCCAACAGUAAUUUCCAAGUAAACAUGUCACUGUAGGCAUUAAAUAUUGGAGAAAUUAAAAUAUUAUGUUUCACUGA